GCUGCCUGUAGAUUUGUGGUCCUACCAGAGAUUGUGUGAGAAAGCUGUUAGUCAUCAGGGCUCGGGGAGGAUUUCCUGUGCCAAGGCUGCUGCUGUGUCUUCAGCAAAUCCAACUCCUUGCAUAGCACUUGCUUCUUAAUCCAGGAAAAUUAAAACCACCAGUGAUAGCCACAUUGUCUGGCCAUCUGCUCUUCCAGGUGCUCCCGUGCCGGAGCGGAGCUGCAGCGAUGUGACCCAGAAUCCUGUUGCAGGGUUGGGAUCGUUCCCAGCACAGUCCUGUGCUUCAAUCUUCUGCGUGACAUCAGAUAAGUAAACACCAAGAUUUGAUCAAUCAGAGAUGUCAUGGUCCUCAGAGGUAAAGCACUGAAUGGGUACAAAUGCAGCCUGCUGGCUCAGGAAAUGUUGAUGGGUCAAUUCCAUGCAGCCAAGGCUUGGACUUCAUCAGGUUUUGUCCUCCUGUCUGUAAAUGGCGUGACUGGCAAAAGCAAUGGCAAUGCAGGGUCUCAUCAGCUCAGUCUUUCAUCACACAGUCAAUAAACAGUUGAAAAGGACUCUUCUGAACUGCAGCAGGAGGGAGGAGGAAGAGGGGAAAUUAAUGAUAUCACCAAACUGAAAACUCUUUCAAGUUGCCUUUAAUUGCAGAGGGCAUGGGCAGCGAUUUCAGUUUUUAGCUCUCAGAUCUCUUGCUGUCCCCAGAGGGAUUUGCCCUCCUCUCCUCCUGCACUGCCAGCAUUCCUCCUGGAGUGGCUGAGCCAGGUGGCAGUGGGGCAGGCAGAUGACUCCAGCAUGGGCUCCAACUCAUGUCUCCAACACCAUCACCUCCAGCACUUUCCCUCCUCAUGGCACUCCUGAAGUUGAUGUCCCCCAGGACCCCAACUUCACAUGAGCACCUGAAUUCAAGGCACCCAUGGAGCUGUGCUCCCUAUUUCCAGUCUCUCGUAGAAAAUCUUCAGAGUAGAAAGGAGAGGAUCUGGGAGGUGGAAGGAAUAACAGAUGUGCUGCUGUGCUGGAGACGUUUCCAGGCUGAACCCCUCCGCGCCCCUCCCAACAUCAGUAUUCUGCUUGUUGUCCCCACCGGCCAGCAUGAACUGCCCUGAUGUCUUCUUGCUGUGAAUUCAUGCCUUCGUGAGAAAAAACGUUUUAACCCAUCUGCCAAGCAACUGCUUCAAAUUAUAUUUUGUGAUAAAAGCAAAUGAAGCGUAAUUGAGAAGAGACAAGAGAAUCUUGCCCUGAGAACAGAGCGAUAAGAAACGCGUUGUGACAACGGUGCGAUGUAUAUCGUUACUCUGCAGUGCACCAAACGUCCCCGCUGCCCCAGAGCUGUGACUGUGCUGUGGGGAGGGCAGCUGGCUGCUGUGGUCGUGAAGCUGAAGAUGUGCCUUCCUCCUCCUGUGUGAGACCGCUCCUCUAAGCCUUACACACGUUGCUGGAAGACUUAGGCCAACCAGCUGCCAGGAAUGAGGUAAAAAAGGCACUGAGAUGCUCCUGGAGAUGCUGCUUAAAGAACAAAUGUCAGACAGAGAUGCCUGCUGCAGGUAUGCAAGCUGCCCAACCUGCAGCCUGUCCCAGGUUAUUAGAAAGCACUGAGGGACGUGUGUCUGAACGGCAGAAAACUGAAGAA
ensembl:lncRNA